AAAAAACUAGUUAAUAUUAUAAUAUUAGACUGUCAAUCUAAAGUAACUAAAUAGUGUUUUUUG
rnacentral:tRNA from 1 species